rnacentral:rRNA from 1 species
UACGGAGGGUGCAAGCGUUAUCCGGAUUUAUUGGGUUUAAAGGGUGCGUAGGAGGGCAGGUAAGUCAGUGGUGAAAUCUUCGAGCUUAACUCGGAAACUGCCGUUGAUACUAUCUGUCUUGAAUACCGUGGAGAUGAGCGGAAUAUGUCAUGUAGCGGUGAAAUGCUUAGAUAUGACAUAGAACACCAAUUGCGAAGGCAGCUCGUUACACGAAUAUUGACUCUGAGGCACGAAAGCGUGGGGAUCAAACAGG